rnacentral:rRNA from 1 species
GACGGAGCAACGCCGCGUGCGGGAUGACGCCUUUCGGGGUGUAAACCGCUGUUCGUGGGGACGAAGCACUGACGGUACCCACGGAGGAAGGCCCGGCUAACUACGUGCCAGCAGCCGCGGUAAUACGUAGGGGCCGAGCGUUGUCCGGAGUUACUGGGCGUAAAGCGUGCGCAGGCGGUCUGUCGCGCCCGGCGUGAAAGCCCCCGGCUCAACCGGGGAGGGUCGUCGGGGACGGGCAGACUUGAGGGCAGCAGGGGCUGGUGGAAUUCCCGGUGUAGUGGUGAAAUGCGUAGAGAUCGGGAGGAACACCCGUGGCGAAGGCGGCCAGCUGGGCUGACCCUGACGCUGAGGCACGAAGGCGUGGGGAGCGAACGGGAUUAGAUACCCCGGUAGUCCACGCAGUAAACGAUGCAGACUAGGCGUGGGGGGACUUGACCCCCUCCGUGCCGGAGCUAACGCGGGAAGUCUGCCGCCUGGGGAGUACGGCCGCAAGCGUA